rnacentral:tRNA from 1 species
GCCCUGAUAGCUCAGUUGGUACGAGCGUGCGACUGAAGGAUCCAAUAGAUCUUCGCAAGGUCACCUGUUCGACCCAGGUUCAGGGCA